rnacentral:sRNA from 1 species
CUGAUGAAACAGCAAAAGCUAGAUAUUGUUUCUUCUAUACAUAGAAGGAAAUAGCUUCUUGCAACAGGAACAAUUCAGGAGAAAACAGUUGUUUUCUCCCCUUUAGAUGAUAGGUUGGGAAGCAGGGUUGGCUCCGUCAUAAUGAUUUCUCCUAAACACUUCUCAGGUUUGGCCUAUGCAUGUGUGUUAUAGAUUGGGGAUAGUUUGAAAACUCAUUCUGUAGUAUUAUUCCUAUGGGCAGGGUGGUGAGUAGUGUGUAAAUUCUUUGUCUUCUUUAUGGGUCAGUAUAUCCACAGGCACAUUUUCAUACUGCUUUGUCACUGAAAGUAAGGCAGCUGCAGUGGCAGGACCCUGUUCUAGGACAGUUGAAUGCCUCUAUGAUGAGGCCUCAGAAUUUCCUCUUUCCUAGUGCCCAAGACAAGGAGCUUUGCUGAUGUAUUUCUGAUAGCAGAAAAGGCCAUUGAGCUUAGUGGUUGGUACCAUAUGGCAAUUUACAAUCUGGGAAAUAUUCUGACGAUACGUACUUUUCGAAGAAUGCUAGUUAGAAUAUUUAGAUAGGACUCCUGAACUUUCUUUGAGAAGAUGUUAAUGACAAGAACUAAAAUCAGCCUAAUCUGGGUCACAUCCCAGGAAGGAUAAAGGUCUAUAGGUGUGGAAGGCUCUUUCUGGUCCUUUCAGUGAGCUAUUUCCAAUAGAGCCCGCCUAUCCAGAGCUUCCCACUCUUGUGCAUGGGAUGUGGUUAAGCUCAUGUCUCAGUGCCACAGUAGCUAGAGGAUGCCAUUGCAAUGUAAAAGGGCUAUAAAUAAAGCUCUCUUGUUUUUCCAUAAAACAGUCUGCUCUAGAACAGAUUAUAAAGGGGCCAGAAGGAAUCUCUUCUCAUUUUCUUAUUGAAUAGAGAGUGUAUAAAUUAUUCCCUUACAUAAAGGACAAUUACUUUUUCUAUAUAGAUCAUAUAUAGAAAUAGAGCUAUAGAAAAAGUAAUUAAUUCUAUAUGAUAUGGCCUCAAUUUUUAAUUUUUAAAUUGUUUUUAUAUGAAAUAGUCUUAAUUUUACUCUUUUUGCAGUUCACACAAAGAUGAAUUCCUGCACUUCAAGAUUACAUUGUAUAUGUGAUUCCUUGCUUCAUUUUAAGGACUAUGUUGUUUUCUUAAAUGUGUUGAUGAGUCUUUAUAACCUGUUUUAAUAAUGUUAAAUUGAAUUCAUUUUUCUUAUUGUUAAUACAAAAACAGUAAAUUUGAAGACUGAGAACCAUAUAAGAGGGUGAUUGCACUUAUUAUGAAAAGAUUUGAAUCCUUCUUUGUGUGUGUGGGUGUGACCAGCCUUGCUAUCAAUUUCUUCUGUCAUACACUGCCAAAUUUUCUAUUUAAGUAUUGUGAAAACUCUGUUUUUUUCAGGUCGAAUGAGUGAUUUGAGUGUAAUUGGUCAUCCAAUAGAUUCAGAAUCUAAAGAAGAUGAACCUUGUAGUGAAGAAACAGAUCCAGUGCAUGAUCUAAUGGCUGAAAUUUUACCUGAAUUCCCUGACAUAAUUGAAAUAGACCUAUACCACAGUGAAGAAAAUGAAGAAGAAGAAGAAGAGUGUGCAAAUGCUACUGAUGUGACAACCACCCCAUCUGUGCAGUACAUAAAUGGGAAGCAUCUCGUUACCACUGUGCCCAAGGACCCAGAAGCUGCAGAAGCUAGGCGUGGCCAGUUUGAAAGUGUUGCACCUUCUCAAAAUUUCUCGGACAGCUCUGAAAGUGAUACUCAUCCAUUUGUAAUAGCCAAAACGGAAUUGUCUACUGCUGUGCAACCUAAUGAAUCUACAGAAACAACUGAGUCUCUUGAAAUUACAUGGAAGCCUGAGACUUACCCUGAAACAUCAGAACAUUUUUCAGGUGGUGAGCCUGAUGUUUUCCCCACAGUCCCAUUCCAUGAGGAAUUUGAAAGUGGAACAGCCAAAAAAGGGGCAGAAUCAGUCACAGAGAGAGAUACUGAAGUUGGUCAUCAGGGACGUGAACAUACUGAACCUGUAUCUCUGUUUCCUGAAGAGUCUUCAGGAGAGAUUGCCAUUGACCAAGAAUCUCAGAAAAUAGCCUUUGCAAGGGCUACAGAAGUAACAUUUGGUGAAGAGGUAGAAAAAAGUACUUCUGUCACAUACACUCCCACUAUAGUUCCAAGUUCUGCAUCAGCAUAUGUUUCAGAGGAAGAAGCAGUUACCCUAAUAGGAAAUCCUUGGCCAGAUGACCUGUUGUCUACCAAAGAAAGCUGGGUAGAAGCAACUCCUAGACAAGUUGUAGAGCUCUCAGGGAGUUCUUCGAUUCCAAUUACAGAAGGCUCUGGAGAAGCAGAAGAAGAUGAAGAUACAAUGUUCACCAUGGUAACUGAUUUAUCACAGAGAAAUACUACUGAUACACUCAUUACUUUAGACACUAGCAGGAUAAUCACAGAAAGCUUUUUUGAGGUUCCUGCAACCACCAUUUAUCCAGUUUCUGAACAAACUUCUGCAAAAGUGGUGCCUACCAAGUUUGUAAGUGAAACAGACACUUCUGAGUGGAUUUCCAGUACCUCUGUUGAGGAAAAGAAAAGGAAGGAGGAGGAGGGAACUACAGGUACGGCUUCUACAGUUGAGGUAUAUUCAUCUACACAGAGAUCGGAUCAAUUAAUUUUACCCUUUGAAUUAGAAAGUCCAAAUGUAGCUACAUCUAGUGAUUCAGGUACCAGGAAAAGUUUUAUGUCCUUGACAACACCAACACAGUCCGAAAGGGAAAUGACAGAUUCUACUCCUGUCUUUACAGAAACAAAUACAUUAGAAAAUUUGGGGGCACAGACCACUGAGCACAGCAGUGUCCAUCAACCUGGGGUUCAGGAAGGGCUGACCACUCUCCCACGUAGUCCUGCCUCUGUCUUUAUGGAGCAGGGCUCUGGAGAAGCUGCUGCCGACCCAGAAACCACCACUGUUUCUUCAUUUUCAUUAAACUUAGAGUAUGAAAUUCAAGCUGAAAAGGAAGCAGCUGGCACUUUGUCUCCGCAUGUGGAAACUACAUUCUCCACUGAGCCAACAGGACUGGUUUUGAGUACAGUAAUGGACAGAGAAGUUGCUGAAAAUAUAACCCAAACAUCCAGGGAAAUAGUGAUUUCAGAGCGAUUAGAAGAACCAAAUUAUGGGGCAGAAAUAAGGGGCUUUUCCACAGGUUUUCCUUUGGAGGAAGAUUUCAGUGGUGACUUUAGAGAAUACUCAACAGUGUCUCAUCCCAUAGCAAAAGAAGAAACGGUAAUGACGGAAGGCUCUGGAGAUGCAGCAUUUAGGGACACCCAGACUUCACCAUCUACAGUACCUACUUCAGUUCACAUCAGCCACAUAUCUGACUCAGAAGGACCCAGUAGCACCAUGGUCAGCACUUCAGCCUUCCCCUGGGAAGAGUUUACAUCCUCAGCUGAGGGCUCAGGUGAGCAACUGGUCACAGUCAGCAGCUCUGUUGUUCCAGUGCUUCCCAGUGCUGUGCGAAAGUUUUCUGGUACAGCUUCCUCCAUUAUUGAUGAAGGAUUGGGAGAAGUGGGUACUGUCAAUGAAAUUGAUAGAAGAUCCACCAUUUUACCAACAGCAGAAGUGGAAGGUACGAAAGCUCCAGUAGAGAAGGAGGAAGUAAAGGUCAGUGGCACAGUUUCAACAAACUUUCCCCAAACUAUAGAGCCAGCCAAAUUAUGGUCUAGGCAAGAAGUCAACCCUGUAAGACAAGAAAUUGAAAGUGAAACAACAUCAGAGGAACAAAUUCAAGAAGAAAAGUCAUUUGAAUCCCCUCAAAACUCUCCUGCAACAGAACAAACAAUCUUUGAUUCACAGACAUUUACUGAAACUGAACUCAAAACCACAGAUUAUUCUGUACUAACAACAAAGAAAACUUACAGUGAUGAUAAAGAAAUGAAGGAGGAAGACACUUCUUUAGUUAACAUGUCUACUCCAGAUCCAGAUGCAAAUGGCUUGGAAUCUUACACAACUCUCCCUGAAGCUACUGAAAAGUCACAUUUUUUCUUAGCUACUGCAUUAGUAACUGAAUCUAUACCAGCUGAACAUGUAGUCACAGAUUCACCAAUCAAAAAGGAAGAAAGUACAAAACAUUUUCCCAAAGGCAUGAGACCAACAAUUCAAGAGUCAGAUACUGAGCUCUUAUUCUCUGGACUGGGAUCAGGAGAAGAAGUUUUACCUACUCUACCAACAGAGUCAGUGAAUUUUACUGAAGUGGAACAAAUCAAUAACACAUUAUAUCCCCACACUUCUCAAGUGGAAAGUACCUCAAGUGACAAAAUUGAAGACUCUAACAGAAUGGAAAAUGUGGCAAAAGAAGUUGGACCACUCGUAUCUCAAACAGACAUCUUUGAAGGUAGUGGGUCAGUAACCAGCACAACCUUAAUAGAAAUUUUAAGUGACACUGGAGCAGAAGGACCCACGGUGGCACCUCUCCCUUUCUCCACGGACAUCGGACAUCCUCAAAAUCAGACUCUCAGGUGGGCAGAAGAAAUCCAGACUAGUAGACCACAAACCAUAACUGAACAAGACUCUAACAAGAAUUCUUCAACAGCAGAAAUUAACGAAACAACAGCCUCGUCUACUGAUUUUCUGGCUAGAGCUUAUGGUUUUGAAAUGGCCAAAGAAUUUGUUACAUCAGCACCAAAACCAUCUGACUUGUAUUAUGAACCUUCUGGAGAAGGAUCUGGAGAAGUGGAUAUUGUUGAUUCAUUUCACACUUCUGCAACUACUCAGGCAACCAGACAAGAAAGCAGCACCACAUUUGUUUCUGAUGGGUCCCUGGAAAGACAUCCUGAGGUGCCAAGCGCUAAAGCUGUUACUGCUGAUGGAUUCCCAACAGUUUCAGUGAUGCUGCCUCUUCAUUCAGAGCAGAACAAAAGCUCCCCUGAUCCAACUAGCACACUGUCAAAUACAGUGUCAUAUGAGAGGUCCACAGACGGUAGUUUCCGAGACCGUUUCAGGGAAUUCGAGGAUUCCACCUUAAAACCUAACAGAAAAAAACCCACUGAAAAUAUUAUCAUAGACCUGGACAAAGAGGACAAGGAUUUAAUAUUGACAAUUACAGAGAGUACCAUCCUUGAAAUUCUACCUGAGCUGACAUCGGAUAAAAAUACUAUCAUAGAUAUUGAUCAUACUAAACCUGUGUAUGAAGACAUUCUUGGAAUGCAAACAGAUAUAGAUACAGAGGUACCAUCAGAACCACAUGACAGUAAUGAUGAAAGUAAUGACGACAGCACUCAAGUUCAAGAGAUCUAUGAGGCAGCUGUCAACCUUUCUUUAACUGAGGAAACAUUUGAGGGCUCUGCUGAUGUUCUGGCUAGCUACACUCAGGCAACACAUGAUGAAUCAAUGACUUAUGAAGAUAGAAGCCAACUAGAUCACAUGGGCUUUAACUUCACAACUGGGAUCCCUGCUCCUAGCACAGAAACAGAAUUAGACGUUUUACUUCCCACGGCAACAUCCCUACCAAUUCCUCAUAAGUCUGCCACAGUUAUUCCAGAGAUUGAAGGAAUAAAAGCUGAAGCAAAAGCCCUGGAUGACAUGUUUGAAUCAAGCACUUUGUCUGAUGGUCAAGCUAUUGCAGACCAAAGUGAAAUAAUACCAACAUUGGGCCAAUUUGAAAGGACUCAGGAGGAGUAUGAAGACAAAAAACAUGCUGGUCCUUCUUUUCAGCCAGAAUUCUCUUCAGGAGCUGAGGAGGCAUUAGUAGACCAUACUCCCUAUCUAAGUAUUGCUACUACCCACCUUAUGGAUCAGAGUUUAACAGAGGUGCCUGAUGUGAUGGAAGGAUCCAAUCCCCCAUAUUACACUGACACAACAUUAGCAGUUUCAACAUUUGCGAAGUUGUCUUCUCAGACACCAUCAUCUCCCCUCACUAUCUACUCAGGCAGUGAAGCCUCUGGACACACAGAGAUCCCCCAGCCCAGUGCUCUGCCAGGAAUAGACGUCGGCUCAUCUGUAAUGUCCCCACAGGAUUCUUUUAAGGAAAUUCAUGUAAAUAUUGAAGCGACUUUCAAACCAUCAAGUGAGGAAUACCUUCACAUAACUGAGCCUCCCUCUUUAUCUCCUGACACAAAAUUAGAACCUUCAGAAGAUGAUGGUAAACCUGAGUUAUUAGAAGAAAUGGAAGCUUCUCCCACAGAACUUAUUGCUGUGGAAGGAACUGAGAUUCUCCAAGAUUUCCAAAACAAAACCGAUGGUCAAGUUUCUGGAGAAGCAAUCAAGAUGUUUCCCACCAUUAAAACACCUGAGGCUGGAACUGUUAUUACAACUGCCGAUGAAAUUGAAUUAGAAGGUGCUACACAGUGGCCACACUCUACUUCUGCUUCUGCCACCUAUGGGGUCGAGGCAGGUGUGGUGCCUUGGCUGAGUCCACAGACUUCUGAGAGGCCCACGCUUUCUUCUUCUCCAGAAAUAAACCCUGAAACUCAAGCAGCUUUAAUCAGAGGGCAGGAUUCCACAAUAGCAGCAUCAGAACAGCAAGUGGCAGCGAGAAUUCUUGAUUCCAAUAAUCAGACAACAGUAAGCCCUGUGGAAUUUAAUACUGAGGUUGCAACACCACCAUUUUCCCUUCUGGAGACUUCUAAUGAAACAGAUUUCCUGAUUGGCAUUAAUGAAGAGUCAGUGGAAGGCACGGCAAUCUAUUUACCAGGACCUGAUCGCUGCAAAAUGAACCCGUGCCUUAACGGAGGCACCUGUUAUCCUACUGAAACUUCCUAUGUAUGCACCUGUGUGCCAGGAUACAGCGGAGACCAGUGUGAACUUGAUUUUGAUGAAUGUCACUCUAAUCCCUGUCGUAAUGGAGCCACUUGUGUUGAUGGUUUUAACACAUUCAGGUGCCUCUGCCUUCCAAGUUAUGUUGGUGCACUUUGUGAGCAAGAUACCGAGACAUGUGACUAUGGCUGGCACAAAUUCCAAGGGCAGUGCUACAAAUACUUUGCCCAUCGACGCACAUGGGAUGCAGCUGAACGGGAAUGCCGUCUGCAGGGCGCCCAUCUCACAAGCAUCCUGUCUCACGAAGAACAAAUGUUUGUUAAUCGUGUGGGCCAUGAUUAUCAGUGGAUAGGCCUCAAUGACAAGAUGUUUGAGCAUGACUUCCGUUGGACUGAUGGCAGCACACUGCAAUAUGAGAAUUGGCGACCCAACCAGCCAGACAGCUUCUUUUCUGCUGGAGAAGACUGUGUUGUAAUCAUUUGGCAUGAGAAUGGCCAGUGGAAUGAUGUUCCCUGCAAUUACCAUCUCACCUAUACGUGCAAGAAAGGAACAGUUGCUUGCGGCCAGCCCCCUGUUGUAGAAAAUGCCAAGACCUUUGGAAAGAUGAAACCUCGUUAUGAAAUCAACUCCCUGAUUAGAUACCACUGCAAAGAUGGUUUCAUUCAACGUCACCUUCCAACUAUCCGGUGCUUAGGAAAUGGAAGAUGGGCUAUACCUAAAAUUACCUGCAUGAACCCAUCUGCAUACCAAAGGACUUAUUCUAUGAAAUACUUUAAAAAUUCCUCAUCAGCAAAGGACAAUUCAAUAAAUACAUCCAAACAUGAUCAUCGUUGGAGCCGGAGGUGGCAGGAGUCGAGGCGCUGAUCCCUAAAAUGGCGAACAUGUGUUUUCAUCAUUUCAGCCAAAGUCCUAACUUCCUGUGCCUUUCCUAUCACCUCGAGAAGUAAUUAUCAGUUGGUUUGGAUUUUUGGACCACCGUUCAGUCAUUUUGGGUUGCCGUGCUCCCAAAACAUUUUAAAUGAAAGUAUUGGCAUUCAAAAAGACAGCAGACAAAAUGAAAGAAAAUGAGAGCAGAAAGUAAGCAUUUCCAGCCUAUCUAAUUUCUUUAGUUUUCUAUUUGCCUCCAGUGCAGUCCAUUUCCUAAUGCAUACCAGCCUACUGUACUAUUUAAAAUGCUCAAUUUCAGCACCGAUGGCCAUGUAAAUAAGAUGAUUUAAUGAUGAUUUUAAUCCUGUAUAUAAAAUAAAAAGUCACAAUGAGUUUGGGCAUAUUUAAUGAUGAUUAUGGAGCCUUAGAGGUCUUUAAUCAUUGGUUCGGCUGCUUUUAUGUAGUUUAGGCUGGAAAUGGUUUCACUUGCUCUUUGACUGUCAGCAAGACUGAAGAUGGCUUUUCCUGGACAGCUAGAAAACACAAAAUCUUAUAGGUCAUUGCACCUAUCUCAGCCAUAGGUGCAGUUUGCUUCUACAUGAUGCUAAAGGCUGCGAAUGGGAUCCUGAUGGAACUAGGGACUCCAAUGUGGAACACUUCUUUGCUGCAUUCCUUUUUCUUCACUUACAAGAAAGGCCUGAAUGGAGGACUUUUCUGUAACCAGGAGCAUUCUGUAGGGGUCAAAGUGCUAAUAAUUAACUCAACCAGGUCUACUUUUUAAUGGCUUUCAUAACACUAACUUAUAAGGUUACCAAUCAACGCAUUUCAUACGGAUAUAGACCUAGGGCUCUGGAGGGUGGGGGAUUGUUAAAACACAUGCAAAAAAAAAAAAAAAAAAA